rnacentral:tRNA from 1 species
GCCAGUGUGAAGGGAAUUUGGCAUACCUAUCUCACUUAAAAUGAGAUGCCUAUGGGUUCGACUCCCAUCGCUGGCA